rnacentral:tRNA from 1 species
AUUAUUUUGGCAGAUUAGUGCAAUAGAUUUAGAAUCUAUUUAUGUAAUAUUUAAUAUUACAAAUAAUA